GCUGGGUGUGGUGGCGCCCGCCUGUAAUCCCAGAAGCUUGGGUGGCUGAGUCAGGAGGAUUGCCAAUUCAAGGCUGGUCUCAGCAAUUUGGUGAGACCUUGUCUUAA
rnacentral:sRNA from 1 species